UACAGAGGUCUCAAGCGUUGUUCGGAUUCAUUGGGCGUAAAGGGUGCGUAGGCGGCGGGUAAGUCGGGUGUGAAAUCUCAGGGCUCAACCCUGAAACUGCACUUGAUACUGCUCUGCUUGAGGACUGGAGAGGAGACUGGAAUUUACGGUGUAGCGGUGAAAUGCGUAGAUAUCGUAAGGAAGACCAGUGGCGAAGGCGGGUCUCUGGACAGUUCCUGACGCUGAGGCACGAAGGUCAGGGGAGCAAACGGG
rnacentral:rRNA from 1 species